rnacentral:rRNA from 1 species
UUGGAGGGCAAGUCUGGUGCCAGCAGCCGCGGUAAUUCCAGCUCCAAUAGCGUAUAUUAAAGUUGUUGCAGUUAAAAAGCUCGUAGUUGAAUUUCGGGAUUUAUCCGUCGGUCGGGCUUUUGGGUCUGUACUGGCGUGAUGGAUUUCUACCUUCUGAAUAACCGGCAUGUCAUUAAUUUGGUGCGCCGGGGAAGCAGGACUGUUACCUUGAAAAAAUUAGAGUGCUUAAAGCAGGCUAUUGCCUGAAUACAUUAGCAUGGAAUAAUGAAAUAGGACGGCAUGGUUCUAUUUUGUUGGUUUCUAGGAUCACCGUAAUGAUUAAUAGGGAUAGUUGGGGGCAUUAGUAUUCAAUUGUCAGAGGUGAAAUUCUUGGAUUUAUUGAAGACUAACUUCUGCGAAAGCAUUUGCCAAGGAUGUUUUCAUUAAUCAAGAACGAAAGUUAGGGGAUCGAAGACGAUCAGAUACCGUCGUAGUCUUAACCAUAAACUAUGCCGACUAGGGAUCGGACGAUGUUAAUUUUUUAAUGACUCGUUCGGCGCCUUACGGGAAAC